rnacentral:lncRNA from 1 species
GGCAAAUGUCACACCUCAUGCUAGCCUCAUGAAACUGGAAUAAGCCUUUGAAAAGAAAUUUGUCCUUGAAGCCUGUAUCUGCUAUUAGCACUGGAUGGUAGAACUUGUUGCCGAUUUUUGACCUUGUAUUCAAGUUAACUGUUCCCUCGGUAUAUGUUUAAUACCCUGUGCAUAUCUUGAUUUAGUCCUUAGUUCAUGUGGCUCGGUCACUUGGUGGCUGGGGAGAGCUGUGGAAAAGUCAGUCCCCAGCCUAGUGGAUCUCUGUGAGCACCAUGUAGUGAUCUGUG